CAUCAGAGCUCCAACACGUGAGCUACGCUCUCAAGGAACGCAUUGAGGAACAUAACCAGGGAGAGACCUGAUUUUGGAUCAGAGCUCUUCCGCGUAACUUCAGCUAGAGAGAGCGUAAAGACAGAGCUUGGAAAAGUUACUUUUUUAAACUACAAUUCCCAUCAGCCCAACCCAGUGGCCAUGCUGGCUGGGGAUGAUGGGAGCUGUAGUUUAAAAAAGUAACUUUUCCAAGCUCUGCGUAAAGAUGAUUUAAAAUUGUUGGCUAAGUUCCCUACAGGGAUUCAGAGAUGGUCAGAGGAGGAUCCAGAAGCCGAGGCAGAGGCUUCGGGGAGGGCGUUUGGAAUAGGAGGAAGGAAGAAUCGGAAGAAUUCAGCCUGUAAGUACAGAACCUCCAAAUGUUUUUAUUGCAAAAAGAAAAAAGAAAAAGAAAAUGGCCACAGAAAUGAGACAGCUGGCAUUUUUAUCAGCAAGGUCCGGACCAGAAGAAUUUGCAGUUUCCACAGCCCCCAGAGCAAAUCCAGCAGUUUUCAGCCACCUCCACCCUGGAUGAGUAUGACAAGUCGACAUGCAGGGAAGGGGAGGACUCACAGGCAUAAAGGAGGGGGGGUGAUGGUUUAAUGUUAUAAGCUGCCUGUGUUCCAAUAGAAAUUGUUUACCAUUGCCUUUUAGAUACUGAAUGUGUUGGCAAAGGAAUUAAAGUGUAAAAACACAAGGAAAACCACAUAAAAGGAGUGGGGGAAAGACUUCAUUGUAAAUAUGUGUAACUGUCUAACUGACCUGUCUCCUGUUAGUCUUUUAGGACGUGCUCUUUUCUGUAAACUGAGGGGCACCAUCCGUUGCACACUCCUGAUAUUUAUUUUAUUGGACAUUCUAAAUUCUCAAAUUCAUAAUUUGACCAUGUUUUAGAUGUAGCACCAGUGCCUUCACCUUUGCCACCAGAAUUGUACAGCAUCCCUCAUGUAUCCUGCAUUCUACAGUAUCCUAUACCAUUCAGAAACAAAUUGAUGCCUAUUUGGCACAAGGAAUUCUUAGGCCACGGCUUCACCUGCAAAAUUGCAGUUUGAAAAUACAAAGGUAAAGUAACUGAGAUAUGUUAUUGCCCCUGGCCAAUGAGAAUUGCCUGAACGUAUUCAAGCUAUCUUGCAGAUUCCGCUGCCUAUUUUGCCAGCACCAAGUUCAGGCCCUACUGAGAAUCUGAGCUUCUGCAGACCAUGGAGUCCAGUGUUGGGUGAGUUAACCAAAUUUUUGGUGGAAUUGACUGUGAAAGAUGCCCCUGACAAGAUUGUACCACACCAGAGCUUGCCCAGCUCUUACAAACUAUUAAAUGUAUUCUGACCAAAGCUCCAGCCCUGGGCCUGCCUAAUUAUGAGAAACCCUUCAGACUGUAUGUGCAUGAGCACCUGGGAGUGGCCUCUGAGGUUCUCAGCCAAGAGUUUGGUGGAAGGCAAUGCCCUGUGGCCAGAGCUUGGAAAAGUUACUUUUUUGAACUACAACUCCCAUCAGCCCUAGGCAACAUGGCCACUGGAUUAGGCUAAUGGGAGCUGUAGUUCAAAAAAGUAACUUUUCCAAGCUCUGCCUGUGGCUUAUCCAGUACAACUUGAUCCUGUAGCCAGAGGAGCUGUGGGCUGCUCAAGGGCACUUGCAGCUACUGUUCUACUGGUCCAGAAGUCUAAAGACCUAGUCAUGGGCUACCCAUUGCUUGUCCUGGUCCUUCAUGAGGUGUCAGCCAUCUUACUUAAGUGUCAAACUCAAACCUGUUAUACCAGAGUCUAGCUAAUUAUGAAGCUGGAUUACUGAUUGCAUUACUGGCUGCCUCCAAUCUAAAGCUGGAACGACGCUCCACCCUGAAUCCUGCUACUCUACUCCCAGAUGUGGAUUCAGCUCCUACUGCUGAGCAUGACUGUCUUCAGGUCAUUCAACAGACUGAGACUCCUACUGAUGUCCCUGGAAAAUGCAGACUGAAAUUAAAGACUGAGAACAAAGACAUGAAGCACAGUGAAGUGAGGGCAUUGGAUCGAAGUCCCUGAUGGAUGCCCUAUAGCGCCACGAAGACUUCUGCGCCUGUUAUGUUCACAACUCCAUGACAAAGGACAUUGUGGCACUCAAGUACUGGUGGAUGCCAUUCAAGCACAUUGGUUCACACCAGGUGUAUACCAGGAAGCUCUACGUGUCAAGCCUUCAAUACUGCGUUUAAGCCAAAAAGCCACAAAGGGGGGCGACCCUGGGCUACUUUGGAGGGUAGUGAAGCUUUGAGCGUCUGUGGACUGCUGCAGCCCUUACUCAGAUGUUGCCACUGGAGGAACAGCUUCAUCCCUUUCAGCCUGGUGAUUGGAUCUGGAUCAAGUCAGUUUCCAAGACUUCGCCGCUGGCUCCUUCCUGGUUGGGCCCAUUCCAGAUUCUUCUUAUGACCCACAUAGCGGUCAAGGUUGCUGAACGCAGUACCUGGAUUCAUCACAGCCACAUCAAACCUGUCUUUGUUGACCACAGCCAAGACGUUGCCAGUCCUAUUCCAGCUCUCAAGUUAAGGAGAGACCCAGAAGAAGACAAGUGGUUCAUUGCCAACCUGUUCCAGGAGGUCUGAUGAACACCAUCCAAGAACUGUGUGAAUCACACAUUGCUUGCUAUUCAGUAUUAUUAAUUUGUUGCCUUAUUUUUGUUAUUUUCCUGUGUCUCUGCUGUGCAAAACCUUUGUAUCAGAAAUAUUGGUGUGGCCAACCUAAAGAAGUACAAUGGUGGGCUUCCUACGAUCUGUGUCAACCAUCUUCCAAGGGACCAUGGCCAAUCUAAUGUUCAUCCUAUUGCUUGCCUAUCCUACACUUACAAUUUAACAUCAUGGGAAAGAUGUUAAAAAUGGGGGAGAAUGUAGUAAAAGUAAAAUAGAUAAAGUCAAGGCCGUAUCCCAGGACAACAUGAGACUUGCACGCUACAUUCACAUACGCAACUGUAUAUGCUUUGUGUCUUGUUCUGCACAUUUCCUUCCUGCCUCAUGAGAUAAGCCUUUGUAAGUGCCUCUCUAAGCUUGUGUGACCUGCAAGAACAUAUAAAAGGGUGAAGCAGAAAGGGGGGGUGCGACUCAUGCUUCACCCAUUGAGUGUAAUGUAUGUGUGUCAGCCCUA